UACGUAGGUGGCGAGCGUUGUCCGGAUUUACUGGGCGUAAAGGGAGCGUAGGCGGACUUUUAAGUGAGAUGUGAAAUACUCGGGCUCAACUUGAGUGCUGCAUUUCAUACUGGAAGUCUAGAGUGCAGGAGAGGAGAAUGGAAUUCCUAGUGUAGCGGUGAAAUGCGUAGAGAUUAGGAAGAACACCAGUGGCGAAGGCGAUUCUCUGGACUGUAACUGACGCUGAGGCUCGAAAGCGUGGGGAGCAAACAGG
rnacentral:rRNA from 1 species